CCACGUUGGAAGCAGACAGACUGGGCCUUCACCAGACACUGAACCUGCCUGUGCCUUGAUACUGGACUUCCAGGCUCCAGCACUGAGACCAUAAUCAUAACCCAGAAUCAAAUGGCACUGAAAGGUGACUCAAGAAGUUUGUAGAAGAACUCUGAUCAAGAAUUUUAACUCAGAUAAGUAUUCCUAUCAUUAUUUUUCUCUAUUGGUGGUCAUUGAGCUGGCUCUAAAUACUUGGAUACAUAAGGAAAAGAUACAAUAGUUAAUUUUUUGUUGUCAAGUUAGGAAAACUUGUCAUGAAUAUUUAUGUAUCACCGUUGUAGUCACACAGCAUGGAUUUAGUGUUGUAUUCUUUCACUUAUUCCCCUUAUGAUCUAGAACAAACUCCUAGGAUCUUCAGUUUCAUUACUUGUAAAAUGGGCAUAAUAAUAGUAUGUGAUAUCAUUGUAUUAAAGAUAAUUGGGACAAUGCCUGUACGCCAAUUCCUUUAUAAAACCAAGUGCUCAAAAAAUGGUAGUUAUUAUUAUUUUUAUUAUUAUUUUAUUGAUUGCUGAAGGCUUUAUGUGAAAUGACUGCUCUGAACUGUACUUGGAGCAAAAAUAUAGAAUUUUAAUGAAUCAUCACAACACUUUAUGAUAUAGAUAUUAUUAUCUCAAUUUUGUAUUUAAGCAAACUAAUUGGGAAUGUUAUAAAGCAUGCUCAAACUGACUGGUGACAGAGUGAAGAUUCCAAACCAGGUCUAUGCUUUUAGUCAUUCCUCUUUACUAUACACCUCUCUUAAAAGCCACAAGAGACCAUUCACUUCAAUUACCUAUUCUGACCUCAUAAAUAGAUGGCUGCUUAGUUCUUGGUAUUUAGGGGAACUAAAAAAUGCCCUUCUCCAAUAUUACAAGUAUCAGAGAACAUUAACUAAAGUAUUUACCACUUUCACCCUGAGGAACAGAGAAGCCAUGUUGGACAUAGGAAGGACAGUGGGAAACUGAGAACACCAAAUAUAAUGUUUAUUCACUGUAUGAUUUUGGUAAGGGCAGCCGUUGAUAAAUGUUCCUUAGUAUUCUCUAUUAAAAAACCAGAAAACUAAAUAUUAAGUAUCUGCAUGUAUAUUUAUGAAUGUUCAAAUGAGGUGUCUAUUAAUUUCAGAGAACACAUACACUGAGACAAUUGCAUUAUAUACACCACUGUUCUGGUACAUUUAUUAGUGGUUUCAAAUCAUGUAACAAACACUAUCUAAGUCCUCUUGGUGACAAAGGCAAUUGUGUGCAAAUUCCUGAUGAUGGAAUUAAUAAUUUAUUUUACUAUGGGCAUUUUAAACCAGAAGUUUAAAUUUAAAACAGGUAUUCUUCAAAACAGUAUAGUUAAAAGGCCAGAGAUGUGAAGCCAUAACCUGACCAAUGACAUUCAGGUCAUGAGUAAACAUAUGGUCUGCCACAGUGACUCAAUUAACCAUCCAUCAAUGUAAUUGCAUAAUACAUCAGAGGAGGUAGUCUCCUACCAGUGAGGGUCAGCAUCCCCUAUUAAAUUUAACAGGAAAAGCAUCACUUUGCCAUUAGCUUCUUUGGCUAUAUAUUUUUAAAUAUUUUGAAAAUACAUUCGAUACUGUAUUUUAUACUUACUGUUCUCUGGAAGAAAUUUUUGACAAACUGAUAUUUGGGCUGCUGGUUAAGAAAUAAUUCUACUUAUAAUAAAGCUGGCAUAAAUGAAAAGCACAACUUACAAGACAAGUAUUGCAUUUUAAUCAAUUCUAAUCACGUUAUUGUUGAGAUAAGAAAGAAGGAGGUAUACCAUUUAUACAUUAUGUAAAUUGUACAUAAAGUUAACAUGUUACAAACUUCUAUGAAGAGAUAUGGCUGAACUGGUUUAUGCAAUCUUUGUGAACAUUAAACCUUCUUGGCAUAGUACACAUGAUAAAAUAAUGGCAAUGCCUUAUUAAGUAAUUUUUUAAAAAAAUGUAUGGGGUAUUAAACUAGAUUGUCAGUAUGAUAGAGAGCUUGAAAUCAAGAACAAAUAAACAUAAUACUGGGUUUAUGCUUCAUAAGCAAGAUGUACUUAGUAAAUCAGGAAAUGCUCUGUUCCUAUCUGGUAUGUUUCUCCUUCUUUUGAGGUUCACAUCCUGAGGGAGAGUUGUACAUUAUUAAUGUUAUGUGCAUUUAAACCUACACCUUAGCAUCAAGAAAAAAUAGUGGAGAGAACUUAAAAGAGAUAUUUUAGCUAAUAGAUACAUAGUUCUCACUUGCAUUGUAUGCAACCUGCAUUCCCUUUGUAGACAGAAAGUAACCAUUGGCCAAGGCCCUAUUCCUAUAGGAUUAUUGAUAUAGAAAAAAAUGAUACCCCUAGAUUUCUGCUUUCUUCAGGACUCCACCUUCCUCUGGUAUAAUACAAUUUUUUUCUGACCUACAGUUGUUUGAUAUAAAAUCUUACUAUAUUUUUUGUUUUAUUUAUUUUUGGGGGGACUUGGCACAUCACUUUAGAAUAAAGUACAAUAUUACUAAAUAGUCAACUAGAAUUAUAAAAUAUUAGCAAUAUUUACCUUCUAACAAAACACAAGCUGAAUGUAUUAACUGAUUACCAGUUAUAUUAGGUAACAGUUUGGAAAAAAAUGGCACAGGGCAAGAAGAAAAAAUGAACAAGUCUUCAAAAAUUGUUCUAAGAAACUAAACUACUGUGGCUAUCGGCUCUGAUGAGAAUGGUGAAAUUGUUUGGAGAGGAAACCAGACAUUGCAAUGAAAAAAUAAUCUCUAUUACUAAAACUAACUUAAAAAGCCAAUAUCUAUAUACUGUUUACUGUGAGCUCAAGUAAGAACUAUUCCCUAUUUCAAAACUGUCAGUCCUCCCAGUCCUUUAUAUUUGCAUUAUCAACAAGCCUGUAUAUAUUACUGAAAAUUCUUUAGUGUUAAGUAUACUCUUUUUAACAAUUUUUUUCUGGAUAUAGAGAUAUAAUCAUAGAAUAAAGUUCUUCUGGAGUUUGAAAACAACUUUUGUCAGAAAUACAUUGUUUUCCUAGAAAGUCAUGAGGGUUGCUGAGAUUAUUCUUGCCCAUCAAAAUCUCUGUCUCAUUAGUUAUGCCAUACUACCUAGGGAAAAUAUCAACAGUGUUCUCCUCACGCAUAGGCAGCAGGUUCUGUGUUACAUCAGUACCAAUGCCAAAGCCUUGGCAUGCUGAAUUAGCAAAUUCCACUUGGAAACUGAACUGCAACUGGCUUGCUUUUACCAUUACGGUUGGGCUUGCAGGCUACCCUGGUUCACCUGCUAUGCCACUGUACUGAGGAAAUAUAAUUUUUGUGAAUUAGUUCUGUCUGAUAAUACUUUAUACUUUCUCCUAUUUUUUUUUAAAAAAGAUGUAGAAUUGAUAGGGAUUUACUUAAAAUAAAAUUAGUCUGUUGUAACUCCUUUAUGCUUCACUUUGAAUAGAUGAGCCAACGUUUUACUUGAGUGAAUACAUAAAGGCCAUGAUAGUUUAACUUUUACAACUCUCAUUAUUCUACCUCCAAGCUUAUUUAUCCCUUGUUUGCUCCUUCCUUACUUCAGGGGUCAAUAAUUUUUAAUGAGAUAACUGAAAGGAACAGUUUUGGGGGUUUGGAGAAAGGUAAAAUCAUAAUCACCAGGAAUUCAUUGCAGAACUCCACGUAAUUACUGUGAAGAGACUGAAGUUUUCAGGCCCCACUUGAAUUACCAGGUAUGAAUAAUUACCAUGGAGAACUUCUGCUCUGCAUGAAAUUAUGUUACUUUACACACAAUAUUAUUAGUUAUUACAGAAAUGCAAAAUAAAUCCAGAAUAAUUUACCUAAUAGAAUAGCAACUAAAUAAAAUUUAGAACUGACAAUUGCAAGUGCUGACAAGGAUGUGGAAGAACUUGAACUGUCAUAUAUUGCUGGUGAAAAUGCAAAAUAGUAUGAUAUGGAAAACUGUUUGACAGUUUUUUGGUUUUUUUUUUUUGUAAACUUAAGCGUCCGCUUAGUGUAUGACCCGGUUAUUCCACUUCUAUUUAUUUACCCAGGAAAAAUAAAAUCUAUAGUAACAGGAAAACCUGUCUAUUAAGGUGCAUAUAAACUUUAUUUGUAAUAGCCUAAAACUGGAAGCAAUACAAAUAUCUCUCAAGUGAGGAAUGAAAAACCAAAAUGGAGAAUGUUCAUACAAGAAAAUAUUACUUGACAAUAAAAGAAACUGACUAUCGAAACACAGAACAACAUCAAUUAAUAGUAAAUUCAUUAGGAUGAGAGAAAGAAGCCAGACUUAAAGGCUGCAUAUUCUCAGUUCAACUUCUAUGAAAUUAUAGAAAUGGCAACAUUGUAAUAAUGGAGAGCAGGUUAUUGGUCACUAUGGGUUAAGAGUGAAGGGAAGGUUUAAAUAUAAACAGUACGAAGAACUUUUGGAUAGGAUAAUGAAACUGUACUGUAUAUUGAUUGUGGUGGUGUUUACACAAGUACAUGCAUUAAUCAAAACUCAUAGAACUGUUCACCCAACAGUGUUAAUUUUAAUAUAUGUAUAUUUAAAAAUCCGAAUAACACAUACUUUGCACAUUUUAAUUUGGAAAAACUAGGGUCCCUUUAGAGUGAAAAAUGUAUGAAUCUCUUCCCUGGAGUUGUAGAGGACUUGGAUAUACAUUCUAGAAUAUGAAGAUUGAUUGAAAUUCUUAGAAGCAGAAAGUGGAAGAGAGAGACAAAGUGAGAAGAAAAAUAGCUGCAUGUUUCUAUUUUAUGCAGGGCCAGGCUUGGGCUAUUAUGAAUGUUGCUGAACACUGUUAAUCAAGCUUACACAGCUAUUUUGAUGGCAAACAAUUAGAACUCUGCAGCUCUACCUUGCAAUUAGCUUCAGGGAUACGGACCUGCACACCCUAAUAAUGAAAGAGACCUCCUUCAAGCACGUACUCCCUUGGAUUAUUCACUCUGGAGAAAAUCAGCUUCCACAUCAUGAGUGCUGUGAAGAGGCUCACAUGAGUGAACUUGGAAGAAGAUCCCCUGAGGCCUGGCAACAACCAAAUAAGCUUGGAAGUGUGCUCUUCAGCCCUGCUUGAGCCUUGACAGGAUAGCUGCAUGGACCAACUCACAAUUUGACCACAGCCUUAUGGGACAAAUGGAGCCAAUGACACCCAGCUAAGCCAUACCUAGAUUCCUGAUGCACAGAAACUGUAAAAUGAUAAGUGUUUGCUGUUUUAAGCUGCUAAUUUUGGGUAAAAUUUGUUAUAUGCAAUAGAUGACUAGUAGAAGGAUUAAAUGAGAUAAUUCACGUAAAGAACUUAGCAUGCACCCAAACAAUGGUAACUGUUAAUUGAACUGCUAAUAGUAUGGACCACACUUGCCUUUCCCUUUUCUCAAUUUUCAUAAAUAGAUUAAUCUAUAAUAAUCCUACAGCUAUAAUUUGAUACUUUAUGUUACUAAAGAAACUAGUAUAUACAUAUAUUUACAUAUACAUAUGUGCUUAUAUGUGUAUAUAUGGUUGCAUAUAUAUCUAUAUUUUUAUGUGCAUCAUAUAUGUAUGUGUGUAUGUGGUGUGUGUGUGUGUAUGUGUGUAAGUCUUUGAGUUCAAGGCUCUUUGGCUUUAUCUUAAGCACUGUGUUAGCUUAUACAAAAUGUGAAUUUAUUGUAUGAUGAAUAAAUUGAUGCUAGAUAGAAUGACACACUUUGAUCCAUUAGGCUUGCUUUAAGAAAAUUCUGCAAGCUGCAGAGCUGGUAUUUCUGGAAUCCAUUUGGGGUGACUGCGAAUUGGGUCAAAGGGAAUUAAACAGAUGGAAUUAUCUGGUUUCAUUUGAGUCAGCUGAGAAAAUAGAAAGGCCAGCCUCAAUUUCCAUAGUCAGCAGUAUAUAAUCUUUAAUUUUGG
rnacentral:lncRNA from 1 species